CGGGAAUAGCUCAGUUGGUAGAGCAUAACCUUGCCAAGGUUGGGGUCGCGAGUUCGAGUCUCGUUUCCCGCUCCA
rnacentral:tRNA from 3 species